UACGUAGGUGGCAAGCGUUGUUCGGAAUUAUUGGGCGUAAAGGGCGCGUAGGCGGCUUGUUAAGUCGGCUGUGAAAGCCCGGGGCUCAACCCCGGAGGGUCGGCCGAUACUGGCGAGCUAGAGUACGGAAGAGGUAGCUGGAAUUCCCGGUGUAGCGGUGAAAUGCGCAGAUAUCGGGAGGAACACCGGUGGCGAAGGCGGUUCUCUGGGCCUGACCUGACGCUGAGGAGCGAAAGCGUGGGGAGCGAACAGG
rnacentral:rRNA from 1 species